rnacentral:rRNA from 1 species
GAUGAACGCUGGCGGCGUGCCUAAUACAUGCAAGUCGAGCGAACGGACGAGAAGCUUGCUUCUCUGAUGUUAGCGGCGGACGGGUGAGUAACACGUGGAUAACCUACCUAUAAGACUGGGAUAACUUCGGGAAACCGGAGCUAAUACCGGAUGAUAUUUUGAACCGCAUGGUUCAAAAGUGAAGGACGGUCUUGCUGUCACUUAUAGAUGGAUCCGCGCUGCAUUAGCUAGUUGGUAAGGUAACGGCUUACCAAGGCAACGAUGCAUAGCCGACCUGAGAGGGUGAUUGGCCAAACUGGAACUGAGACACGGGUCAGACUCCUAAGGGAGGCAGCAGUAGGGAAACUUCCGCAAUGGGCGAAAGCCUGACGGAGCAACGCCGGGGGAGGGAUGAAGGUCUUCGGAUCGGAAAACUCUGUUAUUAGGGAAGAACAAUUGUGUAAGUAACUUUGCACCUCUUGACGGUACCUAAUCAGAAAGCCACGGCUAACUACGUG